rnacentral:misc_RNA from 1 species
GAUGAAGAACGCAGCGAAAUGCGAUACGUAAUGUGAAUUGCAGAAUUCAGUGAAUCAUCGAAUCUUUGAACGCAUAUUGCGCUCUUUGGUAUUCCGAAGAGCAUGCUUGUUUGAGUAUCAGUAAACACCUCAACCUCUUCUUGAUUUUUCAAAAGGAGGGUGGACUUGAGCUAUCCCAACAACCUUUACCGGUCGGCGGGCGGCUUGAAAUGCAGGUGCAGCUGGACUUUUAUCUGAGCUAAAAGCAUAUCUAUUUAGUCCUCGUCAAACAGGAUUAUUACUUUUGCUGCAGCUAACAUAAAGGAUAAUUGUCCUCUUUGCUGACUGAUGCAGGAUUUUACGACACUUUAUGUGUUGUUUAACUCGAUCUCAAAUCAAGUAAGACUACCCGCUGAACUUAAGCAUAUCAAUAAGCGGAGGA